GCCAGGCGAGGUGGCUCACACCUGUAAUCCCAGUAGCUUUGGAGGCUGAUAUAGGAGGAUUGUGAGUUCAAAGUCAGCCUCAGCAAUGGUGAGGUGCUAAGCAAUUCAGUGAGACCCUGUCUCUA
rnacentral:sRNA from 1 species